CCAUUUGCGCAGAUGGUACUGCUAUUUGUGGGAGAGUAUGUCGCCGCCUUCU
rnacentral:rRNA from 1 species